GACGAACGCUGGCGGCGUGCUUAACACAUGCAAGUCGAACGGAAAGGCCCUGCUUUUGUGGGGUGCUCGAGUGGAGAACGGGUGAGUAACACGUGAGUAACCUGCCAUUGACUUUGGGAUAACUUCAGGAAACUGGGGCUAAUACCGGAUAGGAGCUCCUGCUGCAUGGUGGGGGUUGGAAAGUUUCGGCGGUUGGGGAUGGACUCGCGGCUUAUCAGCUUGUUGGUUGGGUAGUGGCUUACCAAGGCUUUGACGGGUAGCCGGCCUGAGAGGGUGACCUGCCACAUUGGGACUGAGAUACGGCCCAGACUCCUACGGGAGGCAGCAGUGGGGAAUAUUGCACAAUGGGCUGAAGCCUGAUGCAGCAACGCCGCGUGCGGGAUGACGGCCUUCGGGUUGUAUUCCGCUUUCGCCUGUGACGAAGCGUGAGUGACGGUAAUGGGUAAAGAAGCACCGGCUAACUACGUG
rnacentral:rRNA from 1 species